rnacentral:rRNA from 1 species
GACGAACGCUGGCGGCGUGCCUAAUACAUGCAAGUCGAACGCAGUUUCGAACGGGUGAGUAACGCGUAGGUAACUUCCUCAUAGCGGGGGAUAACUAUUUGAAACGAUAGCUAAUACCGCAUACUGUGAGCUGGACCUGCGUUGUAUUAGCUAGUUGGUGGGGUAAAGGCUCACCAAGGCGACGAUACAUAGCCGACCUGGGAGGGGGGUCGGCCACAAUGGGACUGAGAAACGGCCCAGACUCCUACGGGAGGCAGCAGUAGGGAAUCUUCGGAAAAGGACGGAAGGCUGACCGAGCAAAGCCGCGGGAGUGAAGAAGGUUUUCGGAGCGGAAAGCUAUGUUGUUAGAGAAGCGGUAACUAACGAGAAAGGGACGGCUAACUACGUGCCAGCAGCCGCGGUAAUUC